rnacentral:rRNA from 1 species
UACGAAGGGGGCUAGCGUUGCUCGGAAUCACUGGGCGUAAAGGGUGCGUAGGCGGGCCUUUAAGUCAGGGGUGAAAUCCUGGAGCUCAACUCCAGAAUUGCCUUUGAUACUGAAGAUCUUGAGUUCGGGAGAGGUGAGUGGAACUGCGAGUGUAGAGGUGAAAUUCGUAGAUAUUCGCAAGAACACCAGUGGCGAAGGCGGCUCACUGGCCCGAUACUGACGCUGAGGCACGAAAGCGUGGGGAGCAAACAGG